rnacentral:rRNA from 1 species
UACAGAGGCCUCGAGCGUUAGGCGGAAUCACUGGGCUUAAAGCGUGUGUAGGCGGACUUCUAAGUACCUUGUGAAAUCCCACGGCUCACCCGUGGAACUGCUUGGUAUACUGGUUGUCUUGAGCCUUCUAGGGGCGAGUGGAACAAAUGGUGGAGCGGUGAAAUGCGUAGAUAUCACUUGGAACGCCAAUGGUGAAAACAACUCGCUGGGGAAGUGCUGACGCUGAGACACGAAAGCCAGGGGAGCAAACGGG